rnacentral:rRNA from 1 species
AUUGAACGCUGGCGGCAUGCUUUACACAUGCAAGUCGAACGGCAGCGCGGGUUUCGGCCUGGCGGCGAGUGGCGAACGGGUGAGUAAUACAUCGGAACGUGCCCAGUAGUGGGGGAUAGCUCGGCGAAAGCCGGAUUAAUACCGCAUACGACCUGAGGGUGAAAGCGGGGGAUCUUCGGACCUCGCGCUAUUGGAGCGUCCGAUGGCAGAUUAGCUAGUUGGUGGGGUAAAGGCCUACCAAGGCGACGAUCUGUAGCUGGUCUGAGAGGACGACCAGCCACACUGGGACUGAGACACGGCCCAGACUCCUACGGGAGGCAGCAGUGGGGAAUUUUGGACAAUGGGCGAAAGCCUGAUCCAGCAAUGCCGCGUGUGUGAUGAAGGCCUUCGGGUUGUAAAGCACUUUUGGCGGGAACGAAAAGGACUGUGCCAAUACCACGGUUCGAUGACGGUACCCGCAGAAUAAGCACCGGCUAACUACGUG